CAAGGUUGACCUCGGAUCAGGUAGGGAUA
rnacentral:rRNA from 1 species